GACGUAGGGCGCAAGCGUGUCCGGAAUUAUUGGGCGUAAAGAGCUCGUAGGCGGCUUGUUGCGUCGACUGUGAAAAACCACGACUCAACCGUGGGACUGCAGUCGAUACGGGCAGGCUAGAGUUCGGUAGGGGAGACUGGAAUUCCUGGUGUAGCGGUGAAAUGCGCAGAUAUCAGGAGGAACACCGGUGGCGAAGGCGGGGUCUCUGGGCCGAUACUGACGCUGAGGAGCGAAAGCGUGGGGAGCGAACAGG
rnacentral:rRNA from 1 species